rnacentral:lncRNA from 1 species
GAGAAGUUGGCCAAGGAAAGGGCUUCUCAUUCCUUUAUUGGACCUGAGUCUGCCCUGGGCAUCAGAUAUGCAUUUGGGUGGUAUCAGACUGGUUAGCAGUUCAGCAUCUCUCCCAUUGAAGGUCUAUUCUUGGACUAAGGCAAGCAAAGGUUCUUAUUUUAGGUCCUGCUUUACAGAGAACUAGAGCUGCUUGCAUUUUUAAAAAUCAAGAUAAAAUUGUUAAGGGCUCCUUACAGGGCAUUGUCAUCUUAGGAAACAUCUUCAAUUAAUUGGGAUUGCUAACAGUCUUAAUUGUAGAUGAUGUCAGGAAGGAGAAUUUUGUAUGAAUGUAUGGCCCUUUCAAGGCCAAGGUAUGAUCUAGAGUUGCAUUUUCUUGCACCAGAUCAUCUUACAAUCCCAUUGAAGAAGAAAUUCUUUCAUGUAUAUGACAAGACUUUUUAUGGGAUGAUUGUGUUAGGAGUGUGCAUUAGAUUACUAGUUGAUUGUACUGCUAAGGCUGUUUAAAUCCCCUCUUUCCUAUAAUCAUUAUCAUUAUUCUCUGAAGUGAUGAUGAUUUUGAAAAUUUAUUUAAGUAUUAAAAUCAAGUUCAAUUAAUAUUUCAAUCAAAUAUCACAAAAAUUAAAAUAGCUAUACUAGUAGUCCUCAAGUUAUAAUGGGAACUUGGUUCAAACUGAGGUCCUAAAUUGGAAUGUUGGAAGUUGGAAAUAUUGUAAAUAUAUGAAUUUUCCAUUAUUAAUCAUUACAUUAUCAUAAUAAACUUAACAAACACAAAACUAUAAGAACUAGACACAAAAAAAAAGGCUAAGUAUGUUACAUGUGAAUUUCAUUAAUCAGUUACAGAAUUUACUAAUUAUACCAUUGUUGCAAAUACAAAUAAUCAUAAGUUGAGAACUACCUCUAUAAUGAUUUGCAGUUAUCACAAAC